UGUUUAUUAAGGAGGAUGGUGUUUGAAAUUGAGUCAAAGGCCGCACUCGAACAAAAUAUCAGAAUGGAAAGUGAACCGUGAUCAGCGAGGAGAUCAGUGAAAACUCUUGUGCAGUCAAGAAAAUGGUAACUGCAAUUCAUUCUUUGGACCCUGAUGGAGAUAGUCGACCAGCUCGUCUGGAAUGAACAUUGGCGAAGUUGCAUUGGUGAGAGGCCUGAGCAGCUUUUCCCACCGUAGGUCAAGUGGUUACUCUUUUGCCGUGACCAUUUAUCAACUGAAGUGAGGAUUUAGGCUGCCUGUGCUGUUUUGAUAAACCACAUAGACUGUAAAAGCGAUGACAGAUUCCACAGAAUCUGAUAUAAAGAGGAGGCUGGUGAAAUGGG